rnacentral:rRNA from 1 species
UACGUAGGGUGCGAGCGUUUAAUCGGAAUUACUGGGCGUAAAGCGUGCGCAGGCGGUUUUGUAAGUCUGUCGACUGAAAUCCCCGGGCUUAACCUGGGAAUUGCGAUGGAGACUGCAAGGCUAGAAUCUGGCAGAGGGGGGUAGAAUUCCACGUGUAGCAGUGAAAUGCGUAGGGAUGUGGAGGAACGACCGAUGGCGAAGGCAGCCCCCUGGGUCAAGAUUGACGCUCAUGCACGAAAGGCGU